rnacentral:lncRNA from 1 species
CUAAGAUGAAAAUUCAUAAUCCAACAAAACCAAACAUUUUAAAUGCUUCAAUAGUAAAAUAAAAAAAAACUAUCACCGCUUCAUCUAAAGAUUCAAUCAACCGUGACAUUCUUUUCCAAUUUGAAAUCACCGUACACCUACCCCAAUCUAUCAAAUAUUUAUCAACUAAAUAAAAGAAAAGAAAAAAAAAACUAGCUACUCUAAAACUAUCCACCGUCACAUCUUAUUCCAUUCUAAUCUAAUUGUACUCUCAGAAACUAAUUAAAAGAAAAGCACUAAAUGGAUGAAUUCUCUNCACCACGUCCCAUCUAGCUAGUAGCUAACCUACUCUUCAUUCCAUCAACCUUUAAUGGUAGCUCAAAUAAAAGUAAAUUUACGUGGCAGCUGGACAUUCUUUUCAGCAAAGAUAAAAGCAACAAAUGAUAAAUGCCAUCAAAUGNAAUGCACAGUUCAAAGGAAGUGAAUCACCAAGAUGAGACAAUGCUUAAGCGAACUUGCUGGAAUCCAAAAAGGAAAUAAAAGAAAACAAUGCCAAAAAGAAAUAGUAGCCACAACUAGCGUGCUUCUCACGGUGCUUCCUUUUUUUAUUUUCUCCUUCAUCCAAAAUCCAAAAACGAAAACAUGAUUAUCCUCGCUAAACUCAAAGUGAUGCUGGAUCCCAAAAAUUCCGAGAGAGAGCGCCUGGACGUUCAGCCAAAAAGCCAAGUGUGUCUAAAAAUGACGGCUGCCACAUUCCUAAGAGGUCGUGAUUCCUAUGUAAGGGUGGGGUCCACCCUAAAAUAAAAGGGAACCUAGGGUGCCAANUGUCCUANAAUUUUGGGCCCUCAUAUUUNUGCCAACAAUGGUCCAAUGUGUAAAAGUUUGUCUAAAAAGUUUAAAUAAUUAAAUUACAAGACAACUAAAAUUUAAAAUGUCCAAUAUGAGAGUCUUGAAUUUAUUUUGUCUCCUUCCCAAUCCUCCAAAUUGUAUCUCCNAAAUUUUCC